rnacentral:rRNA from 1 species
AUGGAUAGGCAAAGCAUAUCAUCUCCGGUCUACAACCAUGACGACGAGUUUGAUGUAAUGAAGAACCUCAUCGAUGCCAAGAUGGACAAGCACAUGGAGGAGCUCAAGGUUCUCAUCAACAACUGCAAGAGGUAUUCCUCAGCUUCGAGAAGACGCUCACGUGCAAAGACUCCCAAGCUACCAUCUCCGGCAAGUACACACAAGCAGCGACACCGACAAGACCAUGAAGAGCGACCUUCUAGACGAGAGUUGGCUUCUCUGCCAGCUCCGUGCACACGGGCCUCCAACCCCCGUGCACAUGGGACCCUGUGUGCACGGCCUUCUGCACCCCCGCGUGCAUGGGCUAUACAGAAUCGCGACAUUGAAACCAAGGCUACGGCUUCUUCAACAACAUUGGCAUCUUCGCCACAUGACUUCAAGGCAUCUUCGCCUUCGGAUGUACGACAUCUUCGCCUACUCCACGAGCUCAAGUCCACUACUUCUACGAGCUACUUCGACUUCACCGUCAAAGAUGAGAUUCCAUUCUUUGGGACUCAUGAGCUCGAAGAGUACCUCGAGUGGGAGCACAAGAUGGACGACUACCUCAAGCUACACCAAGCCCCCUCUGAAGAUCAAGUGAAGUGCACCGCAAGUACCUUCCAUGACUACGCGUUGACAUGGUGGCUUCACACACCUUCGAGAAGCCUCAACAUGAGUUGGUCCAACACGAAGAAAGCGACGCGGCGAGAAUUUGUGCCUUCCACCUACAUGGACUAUCUUCUACGCCAAUUGGAGAACACCAUACAAGGAUCCAAGUCCCUUGAUGAGUACUUCAAGAACAUGAAGGAAGCCUUGCGACGAGCCAGUGUGGAUGACCGCAUUUGGAUGAAGGUCUACUUCAUGAUGGGAUUGAACAACAACAUCGCCAAGCCUAUCUUCACCAACAACUACGAGUCCCUCGAUGACAUGUACUUUGGUGCUCUCAAGGCGGAGCAAGAACUCAUGAAGGCCAAGUCUACUCGACCCCAAGCACACUUCGCGACGACCACGCUCUAA